GACGAACGCUGGCGGCGUGCCUAAUACAUGCAAGUAGAACGCUGAAGGAGGAGCUUGCUUCUCUGGAUGAGUUGCGAACGGGUGAGUAACGCGUAGGUAACCUGCCUGGUAGCGGGGGAUAACUAUUGGAAACGAUAGCUAAUACCGCAUAACAGUAGAUGUUGCAUGACAUUUGCUUAAAAGGUGCAAUUGCAUCACUACCAGAUGGACCUGCGUUGUAUUAGCUAGUUGGUGGGGUAACGGCUCACCAAGGCAACGAUACAUAGCCGACCUGAGAGGGUGAUCGGCCACACUGGGACUGAGACACGGCCCAGACUCCUACGGGAGGCAGCAGUAGGGAAUCUUCCGCAAUGGGCGAAAGCCUGACGGAGCAACGCCGCGUGAGUGAAGAAGGAUUUCGGUUCGUAAAGCUCUGUUGUUAGGGAAGAAUGGAUAUGUAGUAACUAUACAUAGUAGAGACGGUACCUAACCAGAAAGCCACGGCUAACUACGUGCCAGCAGCCGCGGUAAUACGUAGGUGGCAAGCGUUGUCCGGAAUUAUUGGGCGUAAAGCGCGCGCAGGUGGUUUAAUAAGUCUGAUGUGAAAGCCCACGGCUCAACCGUGGAGGGUCAUUGGAAACUGUUAAACUUGAGUGCAGGAGAGAAAAGUGGAAUUCCUAGUGUAGCGGUGAAAUGCGUAGAGAUUAGGAGGAACACCAGUGGCGAAGGCGGCUUUUUGGCCUGUAACUGACACUGAGGCGCGAAAGCGUGGGGGAGCAAACAGG
rnacentral:rRNA from 1 species